AAGCACUGUCAUCUCUGAGUAGAAGUGUGUGCACAGAUGUCUCUCACAGCUGUGACCACAAGCAAGCGUAAAUGGGAAAAUCUGUCUUUGUUUCUCAGCCCUUCUGAUGUCUUGGGCAAUGUUGCUAGAGUGCUUUUCCAUUCGGGAUAUCAAGUUUUGCUUCAUCAGGUGCACAUACACACGUUUUGAGAAUUUCUGGAAUUCUCCUUGUAUUGCUGCAAAUCCUACUGCUUGGUACUGUUUGGUCUUGUCAGUUUAUUGAUUUUUACUGGUCCUAGCAUUCACUGUUCUAACUAUUAGUGUGCCUUUUUUCCUCUUUUACUGCAUGCUGAUGACUACAGGGAAGGAUGGUGAAGCAGAGCUGGUAUUUGAGGAGUUUGCUCGUCAACAGCUAAAAGAUAUGCUUGAUGAUGAAGACAAGGAUAUGCCAGCUGAUGACUGAACAAGCUGCCAGAGAAACUACAUAGUCUGUCAUCAAUUACAAGUUUAGGACCUAGGUUUCUAGUAAAGUGCAUGUCUCAGUGUGUGCAUGGUCUUCCAGGGAUCAGCCCUGAGAUCAGUGGACAUAAAACCAUGAAUCUAAACCCGUGAAUUUCUAUUGCUUAUUAAAAGCUUCAGCUCUAGAAGAAUGUAGCAAACUUAAAACCUGAUGCUUAGUUGAGCUACCAGAGGAGGACAGGAAGGCUGCCGUGCCAUGACUUCUGCAUUCAGGGCUACCUAGCAAGAAGGUUGGUUGCUUUCACCACUGAUGAGAGCUUAAAUGACGGUUUGUGCAGCCUGCCUAGACCUGUGCUGUGUCAAAGAGUCUCUGACUUUGAAAUGCUAGUGAAUCAAGUCCUGGUCUGAACAGCUGGCUCGCAGCCUUGGCGAUUCAUUGAUGUUUCUCAGCGAACUGUACAAAACUGAUUUUAUUUCCUUUUGGUUGCUUUUGCAUUUAUGUUUUACCAAACUCAUCUAGUGAUUAUUCUCAGUGCUUGCACUGUCCCCCCCGUGUGUCUUGCAUCCACUUUCUGUACUACUAAAUGUCUUGCAAGUCACCUUUUCCAGUGGCUAUAAUGCUGAGAUACAAUGUUAGCUUUCUAGCAAUAUUCUUAACCACCACAUUAUUAAAGAUGAGAGAAAUGUGCAUUGUCCAUGAAUUUAACAAAGCUCCCUAUAUACACAACCCCAAACAGAGAACUGCUAGUCCAGACUGAUCCUAUAUUUAAUCUAGUUUCCUGUAUGCAACAGAGCUUCAAAGGAAGGUGCAGUAAAAUUGAGGAAAUUAUGGGACAGCCUGGCCUGAGGAGCCUUUUCCAAGAUCCAUCUGCCAGAGGUCGGUUUAUGCUCUAAGAAAAGAGAUUGUAUUAGGCAAACUUUGUUCUCUUUUGUUGAUCUGGAUAUUCUCAUUAUCCAUAUAAGUGUCUAAUCCUUUCCUGAAUCUUACUUAUAUUUUGGCUGAAGUGAGUUGAAUUAACUAAUUACAUUUUGCAUGUAAAA